UGAAAAUAUUGCACCAAUGGGCGAAAGCUUGAUGCAGCGACGCCCGCGUGAGGGAUGAAGGUCUUCGGAUUGUAAACCUCUUUCAGUAGGGACGAAGCGAAAGUGACGGUACCUAAAGAAGAAGCACCGGCUAACUACGUGCCAGCAGCCGCGGUAAUACGUAGGGUGCAAGCGUUGUCCGGAUUUAUUGGGCGUAAAGAGCUCGUAGGCGGUUAGACACGUCGGAUGUGAAAACUGGUGGCUCAACCACCAGCCUGCAUUCGAUACGGUCUGACUUGAAUGUGGUAGGGGUAACUGGAAUUCCUGGUGUAGCGGUGAAAUGCGCAGAUAUCAGGAGGAACACCGAUGGCGAAGGCAGGUUACUGGGCCAAUAUUGACGCUGAGGAGCGAAAGCGUGGGGAGCGAACAGGAUUAGAUACCCUGAUAGUCCACGCCGUAAACGGUGGGCACUGGUUGUGGGAACCUUUCCAUGGUUUCUGCGACGCAGCUAACGCAUUAAGUGCCCCGCCUGGGGAGUACGGCCGCAAGGCUAAAACUCAAAGGAAUUGACGGGGGCCCGCACAAGCAGCGGAGCAUGCGGCUUAAUUCGAUGCAACGCGAAGAACCUUACCUAGGCUUGACAUGUAGAGAAAUCUCACAGGGAUGUGAGGUCCGUAAGGGCUCUACACAGGUGGUGCAUGGUUGUCGUCAGCUCGUGUCGUGAGAUGUUGGGUUAAGUCCCGCAACGAGCGCAACCCUCGUCCUAUGUUGCCAGCAUUUAGUUGGGGACUCAUAGGAGACUGCCGGGGUCAACUCGGAGGAAGGUGGGGAUGACGUCAAAUCAUCAUGCCCCUUAUGCCUAGGGCUGCACGCAUGCUACAAUGGCCGAUACAAAGGGCUGCGAUACCGUAAGGUGGAGCGAAUCCCAUAAAGUCGGUCUCAGUUCGGAUUGGGGUCUGCAACUCGACCCCAUGAAGUUGGAGUUGCUAGUAAUCGCAGAUCAGCAACGCUGCGGUGAAUGUGUUCC
rnacentral:rRNA from 1 species